rnacentral:rRNA from 1 species
AUUGAACGCUGGCGGCAGGCCUUACACAUGCAAGUCGAACGGUAACAGGAAUAAGCUUGCUUCUUUGCUGACGAGUGGCGGACGGGUGAGUAAUGUCUGGGCAACUGCCUGAUGGAGGGGGGUAACUACUGUAAACGGUAGCUAAUACCGCAUAACGUCGCAAGACCAAAAAGGGGGACCUUCGGCGCUCGUGGCAUCGGAUGUGCCCAGAUGUGAUUAGCUAGUAGGUGGGGUAACGGCUCACCUAGCCGACGAUCCCUAGCUGGUCUGAGAGGAUGACCAGCCACACUGGAACUGAGACACGGUCCAGACUCCUACGGGAGGCAGCAGUGGGGAAUAUUGCACAAUGGGCGCAAGCCUGAUGCAGCCAUGCCGCGUGUAUGAAGAAGGCCUUCGGGUUGUAAAGUACUUUCAGCGGGGAGGAAGGGAGUAAAGUUAAUACCUUUGCUCAUUGACGUUACCCGCAGAAGAAGCACCGGCUAACUCCGUG